AUUGAACGCUGGCGGCAGGCUUAACACAUGCAAGUCGAGCGAGAGGCGGAGGGGUGAGUAAUUUCUGGGAAACUGCGUGAUGGAGGGAGAUAACUACUGGAAACGGUGGCAACUACUGCAUACCAUCAGAUGUGCCCAGAUGGGAUUAGCUAGUCGGUGGGGUAAUGGCUCACCAAGGCGACGAUGCCUAGCUGGUCUGAGCGGGUGACCAGCCACACUGGAACUGAGACACGGUCCAGACUCCUACGGGAGGCAGCAGUAGGGAAUAUUGCGCAAUGGGCGAAAGCCUGAUGCAGCAAUGCCGCGUGUGUGAAGAAGGCCUUCGGGUCGUAAAGCACUUUUGGCAAAGAAGCGUUAUCCACAGAGAAAGCAACGGCUAACUCCGUGCCAGCAGCCGCGGUAAUAC
rnacentral:rRNA from 1 species